CCCCUUUGCUGACGGUUCCGAAAGGCAGGAGAAAACGAUUUCCUCGCUUGCUUUCUCUGAAGCAAGAAAUUCGUGUUUUUCUAUCAGCCUUACUUCCACAUUCUGCUUCACAACCCGCGGAAGAACGUUUAGUGCUGUUUUCCUACCAAGAGCCUCAGCGCCAGACAGGCCUGCGCCGGGCGCUGCAACCCACCCGCAGGAAAUUUGGGCUGCGGGCCCCCUCCGGCUGCCUCACUGCCCUGGGGUCUGAGAAGACUCCUUCCCGACCGCAGGCAUCCCGACUGAAGUCUGCACUGGCUCAGAGCCGGUGGUCCCCGGCCGCUCGGCCCAGCACCCGCCGCAGACAAGCCGCGAGAGCUUCGGACAUGAAGUAAACAGGCCGAGAGUCCUGUGUGGGAGUGAGCUGGGGCGAGUGUGUCCAUCCCUGUUGACCGCGCUUUGACACUGACAGGAAGAAGCCGGCCGCUCGCCCUGUAGGAACCUCCUUGCCUGGGGUCCAGUUCUCCCUUUUCACUGCUGGUCAGCCCAAGCGCAGGAACAAGGAACCUGAGAGGCAGCCAGGACUCAUCAGCUGUUUCCCUUGAAAGGGAAACCAUGUUAACUUAGCAACAUCCCAGCCCAUGGACACCAAGGAGUCCUAUCUACAGUCUGCCGUGGUGCUGAAGGCCAGCGAUGAAGGGUGAUUUGUGUGGAAAAACGGGAAGACCAUGAGCAUGGAGGCAGAUGGCCUGUCUGUGCAUGCUGUUGCUGGUGCGGAUUUAGGUACCGUCUGGACCGGAGGCACAUGAAUCUGGUUAAAACUGCUCAUGAGACUGAACUUUGGAAGGCCUAUGCAGAAGGAAAUCACUGGAGGAAAGACUAGAAACAUUAAAGAAAAUGAGGUGAAA